rnacentral:rRNA from 1 species
GACGUAGGGCGCGAGCGUUGUCCGGAUUUAUUGGGCGUAAAGAGCUCGUAGGCGGCUUGUUGCGUCGACUGUGAAAACCCGCGGCUUAACCGCGGGCUUGCAGUUGAUACGGGCAGGCUAGAGUUCGGUAGGGGAGACUGGAAUUCCUGGUGUAGCGGUGAAAUGCGCAGAUAUCAGGAGGAACACCGGUGGCGAAGGCGGUGAGCUGGGCAGUUGCUGACACUGAGGCGCGACAGCGUGGGGAGCAAACAGG